rnacentral:rRNA from 1 species
GAUGAACGCUAGCGGCAGGCUUAAUACAUGCAAGUCGAGGGGCAGCAGGGUGUAGCAAUACAUCGCUGGCGACCGGCAAACGGGUGCGGAACACGUACACAACUUUCCUUUAAGUGGGGGAUAGCCCAGAGAAAUUUGGAUUAAUACCCCGUAAUAUUAUGAAGUGGCAUCAUUUUAUAAUUAUAGCUCCGGCGCUUGAAGAUGGGUGUGCGACUGAUUAGGAGUUGGCGGGGUAACGGCCCACCAAGCCUACGAUCAGUAACUGGUGUGAGAGCACGACCAGUCACACGGGCACUGAGACACGGGCCCGACUCCGUACGGGAGGCAGCAGGUAAGGAAUAUUGGCAAUGGACGCAAGUCUGAACCAGCCAUGCCGCGUGAAGGAUGAAGGUCCUCUGG